rnacentral:rRNA from 1 species
UACGAAGGGGGGCUAGCGUUGUUCGGAAUUACUGGGCGUAAAGCGCACGUAGGCGGACAUUUUAAGUCAGGGGGUGAAAUCCCAGAGCUCAACUCUGGAACUGCCUUUGAUACUGGGUGUCUUGAGUAUGGAAGAGGUGAGUGGAAUUCCGAGUGUAGAGGUGAAAUUCGUAGAUAUUCGGAGGAACACCAGUGGCGAAGGCGGCUCACUGGUCCAUUACUGACGCUGAGGUGCGAAAGCGUGGGGAGCAAACAGG